GGGAAAGGUGAAAAGCACCCCGACGAGGGGAGUGAAAGAGACCCUGAAACCGAAUGCUUACAAUCAGUCGGAGCCCGCAAGGGUGACUGCGUACCUUUUGUAUAAUGGGUCAGCGAGUUGGUCUUACGAGCAAGCUUAAGCCGAUGAGGUGUAGGCGCAGCGAAAGCGAGUCUGAACAGGGCGUUCAGUUCGUGGGAUCAGACCCGAAACCGGGUGAUCUAGCCAUGGGCAGGCUGAAGGUGGGGUAACACCCACUGGAGGGCCGAACCCACGUUCGUUGAAAAGAACGGGGAUGACCUGUGGUUAGGGGUGAAAGGCCAAUCAAACCCGGAGAUAGCUGGUUCUCCGCGAAAACUAUUUAGGUAGUGCGUCGGAUGGUGGCUCUCGGGGGUAGAGCACUGGAUGGGCUAGGGGGG
rnacentral:rRNA from 1 species